GCCCCCACAAGAACAGCUCAGUCGGUAAAACAUCAGACUUUUAAUCUUAGGGUCGUGGUUUUGAGCCCCACGUUGGGCA